rnacentral:rRNA from 1 species
UAGUCCACGCCGUAAACGAUGGAUACUAGCUGUUCGGUAGCAAUACUGAGUGGCUAAGCGAAAGUGAUAAGUAUCCCACCUGGGGAGUACGUUCGCAAGAAUGAAACUCAAAGGAAUUGACGGGGGCCCGCACAAGCGGUGGAGCAUGUGGUUUAAUUCGAUGAUACGCGAGGAACCUUACCAGGGCUUAAAUGUAGUCUGACAGGACUGGAAACAGUUUUUUCUUCGGACAGAUUACAAGGUGCUGCAUGGUUGUCGUCAGCUCGUGCCGUGAGGUGUCAGGUUAAGUCCUAUAACGAGCGCAACCCCUGUUGUUAGUUGCCAUCGAGUAAUGUCGGGAACUCUAACAAGACUGCCGGUGCAAACCGGAGGAAGGUAAGGAUGACGUCAAGUCAGCAUGCCCCUUAUGCUCUGGGCUACACACGUGCUACAAUGGCCGUGACAAAGAGUUGCUACUUUGUGAAAACAAGCUAAUCUCAUAAACGCGGCCUCAGUUCGGAUUGCAGG